rnacentral:rRNA from 1 species
AACGAACGCUGGCGGCACGCCUAAUACAUGCAAGUCGUACGAGAAAGUUGGGCAACCGAUGAGUACAGUGGCGCACGGGUGAGUAACACGUAGGUGACCUGCCCUUUAGAGUGGGAUAACAGGAAGAAGUUUCUGCUAAUACCACAUACGUUGAGAGAAAGUGAAAUUAUCUCAGGAAAGAUGGCGACCCUUUUAUUAGGAGCUAUCGCUAAAGGAAGGGCCUGCGGGCCAUUAGCUAGUUGGUGGGGUAAAGGCCUACCAAGGCGAUGAUGGAUAGCCGGUCUGAGAGGAUGAUCGGCACACUGGAACUGAGACACGGUCCAGACUCCUACGGGAGCAGCAGUAGGGAAUCUUGCGCAAUGGGGCAACCCUGACGCAGCGAUGCCGCGUGAGUGAGG